UUUUGAUAACCUCGUAGUGAAAGUUAUGCUUCAUUGCACAUAUCUCGAAAGUCGCCUUCAGCAAAGUUUUGUUCUCAAACAAUUGUCCCUUCUUAACAACAUUGAGCACAAAAAACUUUGACAUCUUAUGUAUGUCCUCUUUGGCCGAGAUCAUGGUAUCAGCAUGAUAGGCAUCCUCAUCAACUUCGACUCUGCUAAUCUUUUCUUUCUUUUUCUCGCACUGCCUCUCAACAAACACAGGAGCUGGUUCGUUCCCCCUAUCAACCGAGUUUCCCUCCUCUUGAGCAGU
rnacentral:lncRNA from 1 species